CAGUAGCCGCGGUAAUGCGUAGGGGGCAAGCGUUAUCCGGAAUUAUUGGGCGUAAAGAGUGCGUAGGUGGUCUACUAAGCGCGAGGUGAAAGGCAAUGGCUCAACCAUUGUUAGCCUUGCGAACUGGCAGACUUGAGUGCAAGAGAGGAAAGCGGAAUUCCUAGUGUAGCGGUGAAAUGCGCAGAUAUUAGGAGGAACACCGGCGGCGAAGGCGGCUUUCUGGAUUGUAACUGACACUGAGGCACGAAAACGUGGGUAGCAAACAGGAUUAGAUACCCGCGUAGUCCCUGUCUCUUAUACA
rnacentral:rRNA from 1 species